CGAAGUGUUAUGAAAAUCCAAAAACCUAGAGAGAUGAAGAGACUCUGAAGUCUGAACCCAGCAGAGCAAACCAAACCAGAGCAAAGCAAAAGGCCAGAGCUCUUGCUUUGUUUUAAUUUUAAUUUUUUUCCAAAUAACACCGACAAUUCUUCAACUUUGCAUAACAUGCUGUUUCUGGGUCAAGUGAAGUAGUGAAGUGAAGAGGCAAAGCCUAUAUCUGACAAACUUUGACAUAUCUAGUUUCCACAAGUCCAUAUAUAUCUUUUAAAAAGUUGUAUUUUUGGAAGCAAGCGAAAAUGUAUGGGGAUUGCCAAGUAAUGUCAACCAUGGGAGGUGGGAACGUAGUCACCUCGGAAACCCUCUUCUCGUCGCCGAUCCAAAACCCUAACUUCAACUUCAUGCCUUCCCAGCUCCCUUUCCAACCUUUCUCUUCCAUCAUCAAUCCUAAAGAAGAAAACGGGCUGCUGAUGAGAGGCAAGGAGGAGAUGGUGGAGAGUGGUUCUGGGAGUGAACAAGUUGAAGAAAAGUCUGGAAACGAGCAAGAGGCUGAUCAACUUCAACAGC